rnacentral:rRNA from 1 species
GUCGACAGUCAGGCAACGAGCGAGACCCACGCCAACAGUUGCCAGCUCGUCCUCCGGGAUGGAGGGGACACUGUUGGGACCGCCUCUGCUAAAGAGGAGGAAGGAAUGGGCAACGGUAGGUCAGCAUGCCCCGAAUUAUCUGGGCUACACGCGGGCUACAAUGGGUGGGACAAUGGGUAUCGACACCGAAAGGUGAAGGCAAUCUCCUAAACCCAUCCUUAGUUCGGAUUGUGGGUUGCAACUCACCCACAUGAAGCUGGAAUCCGUAGUAAUCGUGUCUCAAAAUGGCACGGUGAAUAUGUCCCUGCUCCUUGCACGAAUUCGCCG